rnacentral:lncRNA from 1 species
AAGACCUCCUUCUGCUCCCUUUGCUGACACCUACCUUAGCCUCGUAAGCCAGAAGACUUGAAAAGGUUCUGGUCCACAUCUCAGACUGCAAAACAAGCAAGAAGAUUUAUUAUGAAUCAGAGUUGUUUGUGCUCUCAGGAAGGAAGAUAAUGAUCUAACCAAUCUCUUUCACUGGGAACUGUUUUCUGAAUAUUAUAAGGCCCCAGGGAUUCCAGAUGGAAUACAGUAUAAUUAACUCUUCACCACCAAAUACCUAUGUUAGAAGACCUUGAGAAUAAAUGAUUGCCUAAUAGCAAAUGGCAUCCUACUUCUUGACUACACUUGCACCUGAGGAUACAAAAGGACAAGGUGUAUUUAACCUUAGAAUGUCUCUAUAAGAUGAAAACAAACAGGGUCCAGGUUGGCAUGGUCACAGUUCACUGUAACCUGAAACUUCUACGCUCAAAUGAUCUUCCCACCUAAGCCUCUCAGUCUCCC